AGGAUGAACGCUGGCGGCGUGCCUAAUACAUGCAAGUCGAGCGGUAAGGCCACUUCGGUGGUACACGAGCGGCGGACGGCAGAGUAACGCGUGGGAAUCUACCCCAAACUGAGGGAUAAGCACCAGAAAUGGUGUCUAAUACCGCAUAUGCUCUUCGGAGUAAAGCUACGGCGGUUUGGGAAGAGCCUGCGUAUGAUUAGCUUGUUGGUAAGGUAAAAGCUUACCAAGGCGACGAUCAUUAGCUGGUCUGAGAGGAUGAUCAGCCUGACUGGGACUGAGAACGGCCCAGACUCCUACGGGAGGCAGCAGUAGGGAAUUUUCCACAAUGGGCGAAAGCCUGAUGGAGCAACGCCGCGUGCAGGAUGAAUGCCUUAGGGUUGUAAACUGCUUUUAUAUGUGAAGAUUAUGACGGUAGCAUAUGAAUAAGGAUCGGCUAACUCCGUGCCAGCAGCCGC
rnacentral:rRNA from 1 species